AAGCCAGCCCUGAACUGUCACCGUUAUGGUGCGCGUGCCUAGGACAUCUAGGAUAAGGGCUGGUUUCGAC
ncrna:unclassified sequences DTF3800-IX RNA